AUGGCGCUCCUCUCCAUCCUACGCUCGUCUCCGCUGGCCGUCCCCGCGGCCUCUUCUCGCCGCCCACCCAACCACGGCGUCCACCUACUACGCGUCAGCACCAGGGCCGCGCCGUCUCUGUCUGUGAGGUGCGAGCAGAGCAGCAAGCCGGGCGGCGGCAGCGUCGUCGACGUGUGGGCGAGCCGCCUGGCCAUGAUGAGCUUCGCCGCGGCGGUCGUCGCCGAGGUGUCCACCGGCAAGGGCUUCGUGGAGAACUUCGGCGUGGCAACACCGGCGCCGGCGUUGGCACUGGUGGUGACGGCGCUCGUCAUCGGCCUGGCCGUCCUCUUCAUCGUCAGGUCGGGAGCGCAAGAUUGA
rnacentral:rRNA from 1 species